rnacentral:rRNA from 1 species
UAUUUAUUAGAUACAAAACCAAUGCCCUUCGGGGCUCCUUGGUGAUUCAUAAUAACUUAACGAAUCGCAUGGCCUUGCGCCGGCGAUGGUUCAUUCAAAUUUCUGCCCUAUCAACUUUCGAUGGUAAGAUAGUGGCUUACCAUGGUCUCAACGGGUAACGGGGAAUUAGGGUUCUAUUCCGGAGAGGGAGCCUGAGAAACGGCUACCACAUCCAAGGAAGGCAGCAGGCGCGCAAAUUACCCAAUCCCAAUUCGGGGAGGUAGUGACUAUAAAUACUGAUACGGGGCUCUUUCGGGUCUCGUAAUUGGAAUGAGUACAAUCUAAAUCCCUUAACGAGGUACAAUUGGAGGGCAAGUCUGGUGCCAGCAGCCGCGGUAAUUCCAGCUCCAAUAGCGUAUAUUAAAGUUGUUGUGGUUAAAAAGCUCGUAGUUGAACCUUGGGCCUGGCUGGCCGGUCCGCCUCACCGCGUGCACUGGUCCGGCCGGGCCUUUCCCUCUGUGGAACCCCAUACCCUUCACUGGGCGUGGCGGGGAAACAGGACAUUUACUUUGAAAAAAUUAGAGUGCUCCAGGCAGG